rnacentral:rRNA from 1 species
GGGGAAUUUUCCGCAAUGGGCGAAAGCCUGACGGAGCAAUACCGCGUGAGGGAAGAAUGCCUGUGGGUUGUAAACCUCUUUUAUCAGGAAAGAAGUUAUGACGGUACCUGAUGAAUAAGCAUCGGCUAACUCCGUGCCAGCAGCCGCGGUAAUACGGGGGAUGCAAGUGUUAUCCGGAAUCACUGGGCGUAAAGCGUCUGUAGGUGGUUUAGCAAGUCCGUUGUUAAAUAUUGGGGCUCAACCUUAAGCAAGCAAUGGAAACUACUAGACUAGAGUAUGGUAUGGGUAAAGGGAAUUCCCAGUGUAGCGGUGAAAUGCGUAGAUAUUGGGAAGAACACCAGCAGCGAAAGCGCUUUACUAGGCUAUCACUGACACUCAGAGACGAAAGCUAGGGUAGCG